rnacentral:lncRNA from 1 species
UCAACAAGCAGCAGGCAACUAUUUACUGUUUUCGGUAUACCUGAAAAGUGUCUUUCUCUCUUUGUCUUUUACAUAGUGACUUGGCCUAGCAACGUUGCUUGUCGACUUGGCGCCUAGUGUCUUGUCAGCUUGCCGGGCUUUCUUUUUCCCCUUUCUUUAUUCGUUGCUCGAUCUUGUACUGAGAUAGACGGAAGACCACGCAGAGCGAAUGGCAGAAAAAGGGUUAGUCAUACUUAAAGAUUCACUUUGUUUGCUCUCCUCACUCGUAACUAGAGGCUAUAGUUCUAUAACAAGAUAGCUGACACGAAGCAGGCAGCCUAUAAGUAAAAGUCGACGACUCAAGUCCAUUGAGGACGGGUCCUGAGUGUGGAUUUGUUAUUCGAAUAUAGGAAGAAAAGAAGUGGAAAGAAAGUAAGAGCCCUCAGGGUAGCUUAUCCAAAGGAGAAAAGUGUCUUUCUCUACUAUAUUUUCUGUAGCUUCAUUCUGUAUUUCCAUAAGACUAGAGAUGAGAGAUGUUCUUCCCCGGCAAGAGGUGCCCGCCUUGCUUAUAAGAGAUCUACCCCGCUGUUCCCUUAGUUAUAACCAAGAAAGAAGAAGGGGAUUUGCUCCCUAUUCUGCUAAGGCGGUGAAGGUUCAUUUACUUACCAAGGUACAAAGGUUGUUGGUAAUAUAGGUUUAUAUGAAUAGUAAUCAAAGCCAGAGGAUAAGCAGGUCCAAAUGGCGAUCGACUUCAGAAUGGAAGAAAAUGCUAGGGGGAUCCGAGCCCUAAGACUUACUAGCCUUCCUUUAGUGGGUGCGUCUAUAGGCAAUGAUGGCUUUUUAGAUAUAGAUAAGAUUUCUACUGUCCCCACUUCCAAAGAGGCUCUUAGCACCUUUCUUUCCUAUUCUUUAUCACCCUAGGAGUCUUGGGAUUUCCUAUCAUCGAGCACCUUUUCUUAUUCCUAAAGGACAUUGGGAUUUCCUAUCAUCGAGCACCACCUUUUCUUAUUCCUAAAAGAAAGGCCAAAGAGAGUCAACCGCUACAGGACUAGCAGGAAAUCAAUCAAUCAAUAAAAUCCAUCGAUUUCUUUCACCGAUGCUUCGAUCGCUUAGAGAUAGAUGGGAUCCCGCCCCUAACUCUUCUCUUUCCAGAGAUUGAACUCAAUCAAGUUCAUUGGUGAAUCACUAUGGUAAGGCUAUUGAAGACAAGACGGUUCUUAUUCGACAGAGGGACGAGUUGGAAUCCUCUUCCUGCCAUCGUAGAAGCCUGCAAGCAAGCAUCAAUUUCGCUUUCGAUCGCUUAGAGAGGUGGCGCUUUGUUAAGAACAACUAUGGCGAAUGCUUUCUCAUCACUAGGAAGAUCGGUCGAUUCCUUCAAUCAAUGGGUUUUGGAUUUGAGCUUUUGUCGUCUCACUCUAGACUAAGACUAUUUUCAUAUAUCAUAUAUGGAAUUUUUUGCUUUCAUAUAUGAUGGAAUUUCUGGCUUUUGAUUUCUAAAGAAAGCGGCAUGCAUAGACCAAGAUCUACUUCUCCCCCGCUACCCACCUCUUCCUCUAUCGAGUAAUAUAUCAAUUCCUUACUCUAAAGAACAGUUAUUAUAUGCUUCACUUCUCACUCUAAGGAAUAAUGCGUAAACAACAAAGUGUUUAUUGUAAGUCAGAAAGAACCUCUCUCCAUCUGUCUAGCCUACAACGGAGACCCUUUUCUGGUGGGCUCUACUUAAACUAAUACAUGCGGGGAUGCCGAUAGCUUUGUCUAUCUCCAGGCAUUAAACGACUCUUUUGGCCCGUUUGGUUUGUGCCGAUUAGCUCACUUACGCUCCUUGUACUGCUGUAGAAAGCAACGGAUGUAUCGUACAAUAGGUGAAGGGUAAAGCUCCAUCAAUUCAACAAGCUAUGGUGCAAUAAUCUAAUAGGACUUGAAAAGCCGGAAGCAGUGAGCUUUCGAGGACAAGUGCUGUGUUCAUUCGUGUUCAUGGCGUCAGUAGAAAUAACGGAAUAGCAGCUCGGCGCUAAAGUCAUAAGUGAGUUUCUGGAACAAGCUACAAUACUAAGUGCUUACGGGUGCGAGUGUUGCAGUAAUGUGUUUUGUUAGAGAAAGGCUUAGAGUGAAGAGUUCAGUUACCGAUACGUAAGAUGUCAACAGUUAGGGAAAGGCUUAGAAUAAGAUGUUUUGUUCCCGCUAUGUAAGAUGUCAGCUGUUAGGUAAGCUUCCUAAUGGAUUCUAUUGGUUUACAUGCCUAUCAAAUAUUAUGUCACUUUCCGGGGUAGGUGCUUCUGUCCUUUAAGAAGCUGUGUUUUGUUACUCAAUCAUAGAAUUCAUGUGUGCACCACUAUAGUACUCAAUUAUAGAAUGAAUGUGUGCAAAAACCACUAUAGUCUUUUAGCAAUGCUGUGUGUUUUGAGGUUCUAUUUGACUAUUAUUAUAUCAGUUGCAAGAGAUAUUUUAAGCAGACAAUUAGUUAGAUAAGAGAGAUAGAUUCUUUACUGGAAUAAUUAGUUAUAGAGGGAUUCUUUACUGAAUUCUAUAAUAUGUGGUAUAGAGGGAUUCUUUACAAUUCUUAUAUCAUGUGCAAGAAAGAGAGAUUACAUAAUAAUAGAAUGGUGAGUUCAAAG